rnacentral:rRNA from 1 species
AUACGGAGGAUCCGAGCGUUAUCCGGAUUUAUUGGGUUUAAAGGGUGCGCAGGCGGCCAUUUAAGUCAGCGGUUAAAUCGUGGGGCUCAACCCCAUUCUGCCGUUGAUACUGUGUGGCUUGAUUGCGGUCGAGGUUGGCGGAAUUCGUUGUGUAGCGGUGAAAUGCAUAGAUAUGACGAAGAACACCGAUUGCGUAGGCAGCUGACCAGACCGCAAAUGACGCUCAUGCACGAAAGUGCGGGGAUCGAACAGGAUUAGAUACCCUGGUAGUCCGCACAGUAAACGAUGAAUACUUGUUUUCGGCGAUAUAAUGUCGGAGGCAAAGCGAAAGCGAUAAGUAUUCCACCUGGGGAGUACGCCGGCAACGGUGAAACUCAAAGGAAUUGACGGGG